UACAGAGGUCUCAAGCGUUGUUCGGAUUCAUUGGGCGUAAAGGGUGCGUAGGCGGCGCGGUAAGUCGGGGUGUGAAAUCUUGGAGCUUAACUCCGAAACUGCAUUCGAUACUGCCCGUGCUUGAGGACUGGAGAGGAGACUGGAAUUUACGGUGUAGCGGUGAAAUGCGUAGAUAUCGUAAGGAAGACCAGUGGCGAAGGCGGGUCUCUGGACA
rnacentral:rRNA from 1 species